rnacentral:rRNA from 1 species
UAAUACUCCAUACUUCGUUAUUACUGGAAUGUUUUUCGAACGAAAGAUCCGUCGCUUAGGAUGACGUCUGCGGCCGAUUAGGUAGUUGUUGGGGUAAUUGCCCAACAAGCCUGUAAUCGGUACGGGUUGUGGGAGCAAGAGCCCGGAGAUGGAUUCUGAGACACGAAUCCAGGCCCUACGGGGCGCAGCAGGCGCGAAAACUUUACCAUGCGGGCAACCGUGAUAAGGAAACCCCGAGUGCCAGCACAGGCUGGCUGUCCGCCAGUUUAAACAACUGGCGAAGAAAGGGCCGGGCAAGACCGGUGCCAGCCGCCGCGGUAAUACCGGCGGCUCGAGUGGUGGCCGCUAUUACUGGGCUUAAAGGGUCCGUAGCUUGAUAAUAGGGUCCCUUGAGAAAUCCGCCGGCUUAACUGGCGGGCGUUCAGGGGAAACUUGUUUUCUAGGGACCGGGAGAGGUGAGGGGUACUACCGGGGGUAUGAGUGAAAUCCUGUAAUCCCCCGGGGGACCACCGAUGGCGAAGGCAUCUCACCAGAACGGCUCCGACCGUGAGGGACGAAAGCUGGGGGAGCAAAACGGAUUAAAUACCCGGGUAGUCCCAGCCGUAAACUAUGCACGUUAGGUGU